rnacentral:lncRNA from 1 species
GGACAGGUCGGCUUCCGGGAUGUGGUCGGUCCUUUGUCUCUCGCUGCAGCCGGAGGUCAAGGUCUCGUCCUUACUGCUCUGUGUCCUCUGCUCCUAGAGUCCCAGCCUCUGUGGCCCUAUGACCUGCAGGUAUUGGGAGAUCCACAACUAAGUCGCCAGGACCCCCUGGAAGCCUAGAAAUGUCUCCUCCCAGGGUGACAGAAGACUGAAAACUUAAAGGAGAUCUGAUGACAAACCCCCUUUUGCCACAGCUGCCAGCAGAGGAUUUCCACCCACUCACAAACACCCACUAGACAUUGAUGUGUCCACACCCCUCUCCGGACAAGGCACCACCCUGAGGAAUUUUACCACAGCAUUUUUGAUCCUAGUGGUUUUUUUGGCCAAAAACCUACAAAAGUAUCUACAAGUCUCCUGGCAUAUCCCUAUUUUCAGACACGGAAUGUGCAGUAGCAUCCUGUUUUCUCCACCAGCCUAGGGUUCUCGACCUAGGUUUCUCCACCAGCCUAGGAUUCAUAAUCUUAUCUGGCUGCAUAAACCCAGAAAUGAAUCGCAGUACAGCCCCACCUGGGCCACUAUCUAUAGCACAAACCAGUCCUUCCACCUGCAUUGCACUUUCUCCAAUCGAGGGAUUUU